GGAGAGGUGUCCGAGUUGGCCGAAGGAGCACGAUUGGAAAUCGUGUAUCGCGAGAAAUCGUGAUCGCGGGUUCGAACCCCGCCCUCUCCGCCA
rnacentral:tRNA from 2 species